rnacentral:tRNA from 1 species
GGCGCAUUCGUCUAUCGGAAGGACGCUUGGCCUUCAAUCAAGCAAGAUGGGUUCGACUCCCAUAUGCGCCACUA